GGCUCUCACGUCUUUCAUCCUCCAUCUUUCUCCGUCAUGACAGAGAUUAAUGACCCUCAGCUGUCGCGUGCUUCCUCCCUGACACUCCCAUUCUUCUGCCGCUCCUCUCACAAGAAGAGAAAGAAUGGAGCCAAAACUAGAUUGAUGCCACAUGUUCUUAGAUGGUGGAAAAGAAAAGUGGAGAAGGCCAGCACUAGUCACCGAGCCAGAAGAAAGGAAUCAUGGGCGGAUUCAAACUGGAGUGUUUGCGAACCCCUCGUCCGUCCAGAGGACCAGAGGUCCUGACUUGUGUUCAGACUGUGUGAAGAUCAGCAGAUUGGACCCAGCUGUUGGCACUCACCUCAUCAGCACUCUUGCUUCUUAAGAUGGACCUUCUCCAGUAUUCAUCGCCAGUUCGUUUGCCCCUACAUGGAUCUAUCACUACUAGUGCCGACCACCCAUCUACUCCCUGUCUGGUAACGCCUGAGCUUUCAACCUCCUCGCCACAACUUCACACCACGCAGCCGCCACUAUCAUACUUCAAGACAAGUACCACCGGUCCGCUCCGAACGUGAACUAUGCAUCGCUACAGAAACGGGGAUUGCUUCACUCACCGUCUUGGACCACGUCCAGUUUCCACUUCCUCCUCCACUGGGACUCACGCUGCACCAUCAUCCCAAGACAUCUUCGCAGAUUCCUCCACCGGCCACAGAACACUUCCCCGAGUAACAGUUUCCCCACCUGGACAAUAAAUUAAUGACUACAUCGA